UACGUAGGGGGCGAGCGUUGUCCGGAAUCAUUGGGCGUAAAGAGCUCGUAGGCGGUUCAGUAAGUCGACUGUGAAAAUCCAAGGCUCAACCUUGGGACGCCAGUCGAUACUGCUGUGACUCGAGUUCGGUAGAGGAGUGUGGAAUUCCUGGUGUAGCGGUGAAAUGCGCAGAUAUCAGGAGGAACACCAACGGCGAAGGCAGCACUCUGGGCCGAUACUGACGCUGAAGAGCGAAAGCAUGGGGAGCAAACAGGAUUAGAAACCCCGGUAGUCC
rnacentral:rRNA from 1 species